UACCUUAGAAACUGCGUUGCAUUUUCAUUUCAAGAGUUACUGGGGAACAUAGUAAAUCUAGGUCACCGUUAUUGACCUCUUUCAAAAGUAGCAGUUGUGAUCACUGUAAUUAUUAACAAUGAUAUAAAUCUACUUAGUUGUUUUUCAGAAUUGAUGGCACGCUCUCAGGAGCUAGCAUCCCAGGGUCAGGGUCAGGGUAUCCUGAUGGCAGUAUAUGUCAGGAAGAUGGAACCUUGUCUCUUUCCCAAAGAUGGGUCUGAAUCCUUCAACCCUUUCUCCAGAUACCUCUGUCAUCUAGAUAGAUGGACCCAGGUAAAAGCUAUGGGGCAAUGGUGGGCAGGGUGGGAAGGGAAGGUAAAUGUCCAGGAGAGGUGAAUGGCAGAGCUCAGCUACUUCCCAGGCGGAGUAGGAGGCACUCAGACGAGUCGCCU
rnacentral:lncRNA from 1 species